rnacentral:rRNA from 1 species
CUACGGGGCGCACCAGUGGGGAAUAUUGGACAAUGGGGGAAACCCUGAUCCAGCAAUGCCGCGUGUGUGAAGAAGGCCUGCGGGUUGUAAAGCACUUUCGGUUGGGAGGACUGCUUCUAGCACUAAUAUUGUUGGAAGUUGACGUUACCUUCAGAAGAAGCACCGGCUAACUCCGUGCCAGCAGCCGCGGUAAUACGGAGGGUGCAAGCGUUAAUCGGAAUUACUGGGCGUAAAGCGCGCGUAGGCGGCUAGAUCAGUCGGGUGUGAAAGCCCCGGGCUUAACCUGGGAACUGCAUCCGAUACUGUCUAGCUUGAGUACAGGAGAGGAGAGUGGAAUUCCACAUGUAGCGGUGAAAUGCGUAGAUAUGUGGAGGAACACCAAUGGCGAAGGCAGCUCUCUGGCCUGAUACUGACGCUGAGGUCCGAAAGCGUGGGGAGCAAACAGGAUUAGAUACCCCAGUAGUC